GCUUACAUCUCUUCGGAGCAUUUUACGAGGUGCUGCAUGGUUGUCGUCAGCUCGUGCCGUGAGGUGUCGGGUUAAGUCCCAUAACGAGCGCAACCCUACCUUUAGUGCCAUCAGGUAAUGCUGGGGACUCUAAAGGAACUGCCUACGCAAGUAGUGAGGAAGGCGGGGAGUGACGUCAAAUCAGCACGGCCCUUACGUCCAGGGCUACACACGUGCUACAAUGGCCGAUACAGAGGGCAGCUACCUGGUGACAGGAUGCAAAUCUCCAAAGUCGGUCUCAGUUCGGAUCGGAGUCUGCAACCCGACUCCGUGAAGUUGGAUUCGCUAGUAAUCGCGCAUCAGCCAUGGCGCGGUGAAUACGUUCCCGGGCCUU
rnacentral:rRNA from 1 species